rnacentral:rRNA from 1 species
UACGGGGGGAGCAAGCGUUGUUCGGAUUUACUGGGCGUAAAGGGCGCGUAGGCGGCCACCGCAAGUCGACUGUGAAAUCUCCGGGCUUAACCCGGAAAGGUCAGCCGAUACUGCGGGGCUAGAGUGCAGAAGGGGCAACUGGAAUUCUCGGUGUAGCGGUGAAAUGCGUAGAUAUCGGGAGGAAUACCGAUGGCGAAGGCAGGUCUCUGGGCUAUAACUGACGCUCAUGCACGAAAGCGUGGGGAGCAAACAGG